GUUGAGAAGGGUUUUGAGCCGUCGGAUAAGUUGUUGUUGACUUCUGACUUGAUCUGGACAAUUGCUGACUCCGAGAACUUGAAGAUCUUCUCUCUGAGUGGUGGGUCCGGAGUAUUGGCAAUGGUGGGGUCGUGGGAAGGGGGUGAGAGGUUGAGCACCACGCGCGUGUUUCGGGCCUUGGAGCGGUCCAGAAAAGGUGGGACCGAGAUGGUUUGGCACCCAGUGCAGAUCUCGGCCCAUGACCUCAUGAAGUGCCACGUGGAUGACCCGUCUAGUAUCGCGUGGUUGAAUGCACACCCCAUUGCAAGGCCGUCUCGCAACUUGGUUAGCUGCACGGCCAACAGCGGUCGGUGAAGCCCCUCCAAAUUCAAGAUUCCAUUGUACGGCAGCA
rnacentral:misc_RNA from 1 species